CUGUAUUUGAAAAACAAUUAAAAAAACAGAUUUUUAAACUUAGAUUCCUACUUUAUCUCUAACAGUCCCAGGCAGCCAAUCAACAUGUGUUGUUUCAAAUUUUACCAAUUCAAUAUUUUAUCUUCAUUAAAUGUUGUAAAUUGCUUUUUAAAAUUUAUCUUUAUUGGUUUACCCAAACCGCCCACACUAUCCAAUCGACGGACAGAGAGAAAACAAAUUGUGCUAUCUGGGUUGCUUUGCGUGUCUUCUCCAUGUUGCAACCAUUAACUUUACGUGUUUUAGAAGAUUAACAACAACUGCAGCCCUAUACCUAAUAAACGUGAUGCCUCUAUGAACCCUAUAAUAUGCUGUUUAUUUGAAAUUUGAAACUGUUGCAUGCAUUCUUAUAUCGUUCUACAAAUAAGGAUGAAUCAAAGCAUGCACUGGAUCUGGAUCACUUCCUCUCCUUUGUUGAAAGCAUUGAUCUGGAUUACUUCCUCUCCUCUGGGCGGAUUUUUUGAAGGCAGAGUUGGACGGGGCGACGACGAUAGUGGCGGAAGGGGCAGCUGCUCUGGGUUCUCGAGGGUGAAGGCUAUGUUGAUUCGAGAUGGACCUUGAAUCAGAGAGACUGGGGUUUCAUCUAACAAUGAAGAUUUGUUAAUUUGGGAUUUGUUUGAAAAGAGGAAGCUCUUCAAUUGCAAGUCUCAACCCAAUUUAAUUUUUUCGAUUUUUCUCUGAGAUUGAAAACAACUCAUGAGCAUCUUCAGCGCAAGAGGGAAUGCGGCGCCGAGAAGCGACAUCAGUUCAUGGUGGGGAGGAUCUCGGUGAGAAAUUAAAUUGAAUCAAGCAGCAGGAAUUUUAUAUUAUGCUGUAGCAUAGCAACUGAACCUUCACCCCAAAUGUCGCACCCAAUUGUGAUGAUUUUUUGGAAGGAGUCGUCUUUGCUUGCCCUUGACCAAUGGAGUUGAUAUUGGUAAUGAAAAGCUUCACUGGUGGAGAUACUUGGAUUGCAAUUUUAAAGAAGGCAGACAUGAAUCCUCUAAAAAUGGAGUUGGAAGGAAAAGGUUGCAUUGUUCUUAAAGAUGCUGACUAGGAUUUGGUUGCUGCAAACACUAUGAAGGGAGUUUUUUCAUACAUGUGAGUGGCAUAUUUGAUGCAGAAGCUGAGAAAAGCUUAUGAGGGAACAUUCAUGAGCAGUGGUGGGUUCACUCGGGAGUUAGGAGUGGAAGUUGUAGUAUAAGGGGAUGCAGAUCGAUUUGGUUGCUUAUGUUUAUCUUUUUAUGUCUAUUCCAGACUUGGUGUUAAGGUUGAAGCUUAAUGCACCUCUGAACAAAUAUGAGACUCAGGAGCCAAGCGUAUGCCUAUAAUUUGUUUUGUGUUUUGGUCUUUUUGAAUUUUGAUAUUGUUAUAUGUACAGUUGGAGUCUUCAAAUCUCAAAUGGAUUGUACUGUUAUGAAGAAUUGCCUUAUAUAAUAAUUCUUGGCACAUGUAUUGUUUCACCUUUA